CGUAUAUUAAAGUUGUUGCAGUUAAAAAGCUCGUAGUUGGAUUUGUGGCGGUACCCUGGGUCCACUUUUGGUACUCGUGGGAACUGCCAUCCUUGGGUGGAACCUGUGUGGCAUUAGGUUGUCGUGCAGGGGAUGCCCACCAUUUACUGUGAAAAAAUCAGCGCGUUCAAAGCAGGCUUAUGCCGUUGAAUGUAUUAGCAUGGAAUAAUAAGAUAGGACCUUGGUACUAUUUUGUUGGUUUGCGCACCGAGGUAAUGAUUAAUAGGGACAGUUGGGGG
rnacentral:rRNA from 1 species